AAAUCAGGCUUGUGAAAAAUCACCAUGAUUGUCUAGGUACUAGUAACUAUAAAUAAAUAUUAAAUGAAGCAUGUUAACAUGUAUAAAGCAGUACAAAAGCAACAUCUAUGACAAUUUGCUGGAGAAAACGGUGAAUCUUGCUGCCCUCUCCCCUGUCUCCUCUUGGUGCCCCCCCUCCCCCACGUCCCAGUGGUCUGUUCGAUUAUGCCUCAACCUCAGUUAAGUUUGACAGCUGUUUUAACAUGGCCUCGAAAAGGCAUCAGGAGUCGGGAGCGGAGAAAAGAAAGAAGAAGCGAAAGCGAGAUGAUGCUAAUGCGGCGCUUGCAGAUAAGACAAUGUUUUAAACAAAAAAUGUUCAUUUUGUAGCCUUUGCAAGCAUGUCUGUGCUCAUGCCAGCUAAUAUUGCUACCGUCAACAAACUUUGUAACGAUAGCUCCUACUAGCCAUGUUCAGACUGUGUUAAGUGUUGCAAAUGAUUGAUGUUGGAAAUUAUUGAUGCUUGCUAGCUAGUUUACGUUGUGGGAAUGAAUAUGGAUUAUUGAAAGCAAUUCAUCAUGGCCAGUCGACUGUUCCGUUAACGUUAGCAUUCAGUAGAUCAUACGACUAGCAAUCCGUCCUCAAAUCGCUAGCAAGGUAGCUUUGCUUUUUCUGAUUAACCUGGGCUUGCUACAGUCAGAGGUGCAGUCAAGUAUCGCUACCCUAUUCGCCAAGUUUACUUUGCAUGAUACUGCAUUUCGGUGACUUUCGAAAACCCGGUAAAUUGGAGAUUUCUGAAUUGAAAAGUCCAUCUUCAGAUACUCCUGUAAAUAGGGAAAACUUACAGGUUCAUAGGCCAAGGGCGACAUCUGUUGGUGAAACUGUAAUAUGAGAAGAAUCAAUCUUAAAGUUAUAGAUUUAUCCUUCAUAUUCAUAUAGAGUUAUUAAUUAUGUGCAAAAUUAUUGUUCCUUAUGAAACCUUCAUAAAUGUAAAUUUGAGUUUUGAAUUUUUAAAAAUGCCAGUUAUUUACAUGUAGGCCUACAUAAACCUAAUGCAAAAUGUUUUGUACUGUGGUUUAAAACUUUUUCAACCCAAUCCCUGAAUAUUUUUUCUUGUAUUUCUGAAUGCCGGGUCAAUGCUUAAAUUUGUCCAAGGAGGAGCUCAAGGCCAGGAGGAAGAUCUAGAGCAGCCAUCAACCAGCAGAUCGAUCAACCGUCAACCAGCUGGUCUGCAGAUUUUGCAACAGCUCCCAGCCCUGACCAACAACCAUCAACUACCAGUUCAGGUGGCUGACCACAAAAUUCAGCAAGCGUCGCUGUGGCAUCCUCUACUUGAAUGAUAUGCAAAUUGGAGUGGGUCAAUUGCAUUCCGUGAAACAGCUAGCAAACUACUGUUUACAAUAUCUUAAACCUUUCAUAACCAAUGAGGUGCUGGGAGCAAUGAGGUGCAAGGCUAAUGGAUGGACUCUUCACAGCAGAAUGGAGACGGAGAAGCUUGAGGAGUUUAGUGCAAUUCUAUUGCCUAUUAGGGAGAACAAAGCUGUGGAGAUGGAAAUUGUUUGCCACAGAUAUGAAGAGGAAUUGAAGGUGUCAGAGUGCUUUACAGUAAUGAUGAAAGCCAUGCGAAAGUGUAAAAGACUGUGGGCUGAAGGAGAAGGGAGGGGAAUUGGUAUAGUGUGGAGGUGUGGCAGCCA